UGAUUCAAAAUUUUUGUCUCAGAAGUGA
rnacentral:sRNA from 1 species